UACGGAGGGGGUUAGCGUUGUUCGGAAUUACUGGGCGUAAAGCGCGCGUAGGCGGACCAGAAAGUUGGGGGUGAAAUCCCGGGGCUCAACCCCGGAACGGCCUCCAAAACUCCUGGUCUUGAGUUCGAGAGAGGUGAGUGGAAUUCCGAGUGUAGAGGUGAAAUUCGUAGAUAUUCGGAGGAACACCAGUGGCGANGGCGGCUCACUGGCUCGAUACUGACGCUGAGGUGCGAAAGUGUGGGGAGCAAACAGC
rnacentral:rRNA from 1 species